AUAAUUGGCACGCGAUAGUAUCGUGCAUUUCAGUUUUCGCGCAUUUCUGUUUUUCCAAAAUAAUAACGUACUCCAUGACCACCACGCGGUACUUCUGCUCCAAAUCCAGAGCAUUGUACCUGGGCACCUGGCACUUGGAGCACCUUACUCGCACACUGAACACUCGCUGAUCGGCGUUCAAAUCGUAGCGGAUACGGAGGCCGGAAACCUGGAGGAAUCGGGAGGAUCGCGGCGUUGGCGAGCUGGCAUUCAUGGGCGCCACCACGUGCUCCAGCAGCUCCACAAUGUGCCUUCCUCGGAGACUUAGGGCCACCAAUCUAUUCUGCCAGGGACACAUGGCAAACAAUUGCUUUUUUCAAAACUUAGGAUUGCACUUACUGCCAGCUGGAAUAGGGACUCGAAAAGUCCCUGUGGAUGUCAAUGCAAUGGUCACGUUGCUCCAACUGUCCUCGGAUGAUGACGAAGCAUCCCUAACAAACUAAAGAUUCUCGUUGGACUAGGAUCAGUGCCAAGUGGGUGGAACCCACCCUUACUUACCGCAUGAAGCAUGGCAUCGGUGAAGAAGUUACCCAGAUUGCAUUCCCCUCUGCUGCACUGACUCUGCUGGAGAUUAACCCGACUUUGGCCCACUAUCCGGUCGGCAAUGGGUUCCAUCGCCAGUUGCCAAGGCACCAUGGCCUGCAGAACGAUGUCAUCUUUAAAGGAUUUCGAAUGUCAGAAAUGUUUAAGAACUUUCCCUGUUCGUUUUAUUGUGGCAAAUACAACAAUUGAACAUUAUGGAUAUAAUACACAAUCAGUUGAGCACUGUAAUACGACCCUCGAGGCCCUGGUAAAUGGGAUUG